CUCAGGACGAACGCUGGCGGCGUGCCUAAUACAUGCAAGUCGAGCGGACAGAUGGGAGCUUGCUCCCUGAUGUUAGCGGCGGACGGGUGAGUAACACGUGGGUAACCUGCCUGUAAGACUGGGAUAACUCCGGGAAACCGGGGCUAAUACCGGAUGCUUGUUUGAACCGCAUGGUUCAAACAUAAAAGGUGGCUUCGGCUACCACUUACAGAUGGACCCGCGGCGCAUUAGCUAGUUGGUGAGGUAAUGGCUCACCAAGGCAACGAUGCGUAGCCGACCUGAGAGGGUGAUCGGCCACACUGGGACUGAGACACGGCCCAGACUCCUACGGGAGGCAGCAGUAGGGAAUCUUCCGCAAUGGACGAAAGUCUGACGGAGCAACGCCGCGUGAGUGAUGAAGGUUUUCGGAUCGUAAAGCUCUGUUGUUAGGGAAGAACAAGUACCGUUCGAAUAGGGCGGUACCUUGACGGUACCUAACCAGAAAGCCACGGCUAACUACGUGCCAGCAGCCGCGGUAAUACGUAGGUGGCAAGCGUUGUCCGGAAUUAUUGGGCGUAAAGGGCUCGCAGGCGGUUCCUUAAGUCUGAUGUGAAAGCCCCCGGCUCAACCGGGGAGGGUCAUUGGAAACUGGGGAACUUGAGUGCAGAAGAGGAGAGUGGAAUUCCACGUGUAGCGGUGAAAUGCGUAGAGAUGUGGAGGAACACCAGUGGCGAAGGCGACUCUCUGGUCUGUAACUGACGCUGAGGAGCGAAAGCGUGGGGAGCGAACAGGAUUAGAUACCCUGGUAGUCCACGCCGUAAACGAUGAGUGCUAAGUGUUAGGGGGUUUCCGCCCCUUAGUGCUGCAGCUAACGCAUUAAGCACUCCGCCUGGG
rnacentral:rRNA from 1 species